rnacentral:rRNA from 1 species
ACACUGAGGUGCGAAAGCGUGGGUAGCAAACAGGAUUAGAUACCCUGGUAGUCCACGCCGUAAACGAUGUCGACCAGCCGUUGGGUGCCUAGCGCACUUUGUGGCGAAGUUAACGCGAUAAGUCGACCGCCUGGGGAGUACGGCCGCAAGGUUAAAACUCAAAUGAAUUGACGGGGGCCCGCACAAGCGGUGGAGCAUGUGGUUUAAUUCGAUGCAACGCGAAGAACCUUACCUACUCUUGACAUCCUGCGAACUUGUGAGAGAUCACUUGGUGCCUUCGGGAGCGCAGAGACAGGUGCUGCAUGGCUGUCGUCAGCUCGUGUUGUGAAAUGUUGGGUUAAGUCCCGUAACGAGCGCAACCCUUGUCCUUAUUUGCCAGCGGGUAAUGCCGGGAACUCUAAGGAGACUGCCGGUGACAAACCGGAGGAAGGUGGGGACGACGUCAAGUCAUCAUGGCCCUUACGAGUAGGGCUACACACGUGCUACAAUGGCCGGUACAAAGGGUUGCGAGCUCGCGAGAGUCAGCUAAUCCCGAAAAGCCGGUCUCAGUCCGGAUCGGAGUCUGCAACUCGACUCCGUGAAGUCGGAAUCGCUAGUAAUCGUGAAUCAGAAUGUCACGGUGAAUACGUUCCCGGGCCUUGCACACACCGCCCGU